rnacentral:misc_RNA from 1 species
UCAAACUUGGUCAUUUAGAGGAAGUAAAAGUCGUAACAAGGUCUCCGUUGGUGAACCAGCGGAGGGAUCAUUACAGAGUUGAAAAACUCCCAAACCCUUGUGAACCUACCACGUUGCUUCGGCGGGCAGCCCGCGAGGGCCUUGCCUGUGAAGGUGCCCGCCGAAGGUACCAAACUAUUGCAUUAUUGAAUCUCUGAGUAUACCAAAAGAAUAAGUUAAAACUUUCAACAACGGAUCUCUUGGUUCUGGCAUCGAUGAAGAACGCAGC